rnacentral:rRNA from 1 species
UACGUAGGGUGCAAGCGUUGUCCGGAAUUAUUGGGCGUAAAGAGCUCGUAGGCGGUUUGUCGCGUCUGCUGUGAAAACUCGGGGCUUAACCCCGGGCCUGCAGUGGGUACGGGCAGACUAGAGUGCGGUAGGGGAGACUGGAAUUCCUGGUGUAGCGGUGAAAUGCGCAGAUAUCAGGAGGAACACCGGUGGCGAAGGCGGGUCUCUGGGCCGUAACUGACGCUGAGACACGAAAGCGUGGGUAGCAAACAGG